UACGAAGGGGGCUAGCGUUGCUCGGAAUCACUGGGCGUAAAGGGUGCGUAGGCGGGUUCUUAAGUCAGGGGUGAAAUCCUGGAGCUCAACUCCAGAACUGCCUUUGAUACUGAGAGUCUUGAGUUCGGGAGAGGUGAGUGGAACUGCGAGUGUAGAGGUGAAAUUCGUAGAUAUUCGCAAGAACACCAGUGGCGAAGGCGGCUCACUGGCCCGAUACUGACGCUGAAACACGAAAGCGUGGGGAGCAAACAGG
rnacentral:rRNA from 1 species